rnacentral:rRNA from 1 species
GACGAACGCUGGCGGCGUGCCUAAUACAUGCAAGUAGAACGCUGAAGGAGGAGCUUGCUCUUCUGGAUGAGUUGCGAACGGGUGAGUAACGCGUAGGUAACCUGCCUGGUAGCGGGGGAUAACUAUUGGAAACGAUAGCUAAUACCGCAUAAGAGUAGAUGUUGCAUGACAUUUACUUAAAAGGUGCAAUUGCAUCACUACCAGAUGGACCUGCGUUGUAUUAGCUAGUUGGUGGGGUAACGGCUUACCAAGGCGACGAUACAUAGCCGACCUGAGAGGGUGAUCGGCCACACUGGGACUGAGACACGGCCCAGACUCCUACGGGAGGCAGCAGUAGGGAAUCUUCGGCAAUGGACGGAAGUCUGACCGAGCAACGCCGCGGGAGUGAAGAAGGUUUUCGGAUCGUAAAGCUCUGUUGUAAGAGAAGAACGAGUGUGAGAGUGGAAAGUUCACACUGUGACGGUAGCUUACCAGAAAGGGACGGCUAACUACGUG